CCUACGGGCGGCAGCAGUGAGGAAUAUUGGUCAAUGGGCGGAAGCCUGAACCAGCCAAGUCGCGUGAGGGAUUAAGGCCCUGCGGGUCGUAAACCUCUUUUGCCGGGGAGCAGAGGUCCGGACGUGUCCGGGCCGGGAGAGUACCCGGAUAAAAAGCAUCGGCUAACUCCGUGCCAGCAGCCGCGGUAAUACGGGGGAUGCGAGCUUUAUCCGGAUUUAUUGGGUUUAAAGGGUGCGUAGGCGGGCAUUUAAGCCGGCGGUCAAAUGUCGGGGCUCAACCCCGGCCUGCCGUCGGAACUGGGUGCCUUGAGUGGGCGAGAAGUAUGCGGAAUGCGUGGGGUAGCGGUGAAAUGCAUAGAUAUCACGCAGAACCCCGAUUGCGAAGGCAGCAUACCGGCGCCCUACUGACGCUGAGGCACGAAAGUGCGGGUAUCGAACAGGAUUAGAUACCCGGGUAGUC
rnacentral:rRNA from 1 species